rnacentral:rRNA from 1 species
CACGUAGAAGACUAGUGUUAUUCAUCUUUAUUAGGUUUAAAGGGUACCUAGACGGAAAAUCAAGCUAUAAUAAGUACUAAUUUUCUAGAGUUUUAUGAAAGAAGGGGUGAAUUUCCAGAGGAAAGUUGAUAUUUUGUGAUACUGGAAGGACGGGUAACGGCGAAGGCAACCUUUUAUGUAAAAACUGACGUUGAGGGACGAAGCCUUGGGUAACGAGAAGG